CCUACGGGAGGCAGCAGUAGGGAAUCUUCCGCAAUGGACGAAAGCCUGACGGAGCAACGCCGCGUGAGUGAUGAAGGUCUUCGGAUCGUAAACCUCUGUCAGUAGGGAAGAACGGUGACUGUUCUAAUCAGACGUGAAUUGACGGUAUCUACACAGAAAGCACCGGCUAACUCCGUGCCAGCAGCCGCGGUAAUACGGAGGUGGCGAGCGUUGAUCGGAAUUACUGGGCGUAAAGCGCUCGCAGGCGGUUUCUUAAGUCAAGUGUGAAAGCCCCGGGCUCAACGUGGGAGCUGCAUUUGAAACUGGGAAACUUGAGUGCGUAAGAGGAUAGUGGAAUUCCAGGUGUAGCGGUGAAAUGCGUAGAUAUAUGGAGGAACAUCAGUGGCGAAGGCGACUAUCUGGCACGUAACUGACGCUGAGGAGCGAAAGCGUGGGUAGCAAACAGGAUUAGAUACCCUGGUAGUC
rnacentral:rRNA from 1 species